UGGCUCAGUGGUUAAGAGCACUGACUGUUCUUCCAGAGGUCCUGGGUUCAAUUCCCAG
rfam:Rattus norvegicus chromosome 12, whole genome shotgun sequence.